rnacentral:lncRNA from 1 species
UUUUUUUUUUUUAAAGUUUCAUUUAUUCAAGUAAUCUCUACACCCAACGUAGGACUCGAAAUCACAACCUCAGGAUCCAGAGUCCCAUGCUCCUCCAAUUGAGCUGGACACGGCACCCCAGAGCUUAUUACUCUUAAUUCUCAAAACUUACCAUUAUAGUCAACUGAAGAUAUAAUUGGCAGGUACUGCACAUAUUAGAAUAUGAUAAAUUUUUAUUCUUUGGGAAAAUACUUCCUUGUUCUCACAGACUUUGAUUUCCAAAAUGACUUCUCUAAAAAUACACCUUUAUUUUACUUGAAGAGUAUGGAGACUAAAAAUAAACUUUCUUUUAAUUUACCUAAUAAGUCCAAUAUUCGGUAUGCAAAAAUGACCACCAUACAAUGCUUAAAAUAAGACAAAGAAAACUGGGUUAAGAAUAGAGUGAUUCCUAUAAAAAUGCAAGUAUAACUUCAGAUAAUAAUGAACCUAGUUCUCUUCAAAGAUAUGAACACUGUUUUCAUUAUUAACAUUUAACUAAAAUAAAUCAAUUCUUUUUCCACCUCUCCAAGUAAAACUCAUAGUAAGAAGCAGCCAAGAAUUAUUGCAAUUGUCCAAUAGAUUCUUUAGUAAAGGCUGAUCAUACCUUUGUAGCAAAGGUAUAAAUGAGUUACUGCUGCUAUAGUGAUUUGACAAUGCUUUGGCCCCAAGCUUCAUAUAUUAAAUAGCACUGUAGAAAAGAACAACUAAUAUAAAGUAACUGGCUCACAGUGUAGGCAAAAUCAUAUAUAGAUUUGUUGACCACAUGAACAAAUAACUACACAUACACAUUAAAAAUAUACUGGAUCCAAAAAAAUAUAUACUGGAUCCAACAAGUACUUACUAUAAACGAGUCUGAGGGUUUAAGUUCUAACACUGUGAACAGACAUAUGUGAAUAAAGCAGUUUUGUCCACAAAGAGCUUACAACUUAACUGAAUACAAUAAGUUGAAACCUCUCAAGGAGUUUCAGAAAUUGUUUCAAAUUGUUUGUAUUUUUAAAUGAGGUGAUAGCAUGUUUAAAUAUCUUUUUAUAAUAAAAAUAAAAUAACAAAAAUCAAUUAACAAUAGAAUAAAUACAAUAAGUAAUAUGACAACAUAAAAUAAUAAUAAAAUAACAUAAUGUAGUAAGCAAAAACGAAUAGGCUGAAAAACUCAUAUGUAUAUCAUGUGUGGUAGUAAGUGACAAUCAGAUGAGUGCUUAUGAUAUGCAAUCCCUAUAUUACCCAGCUGAACACUGAUAUAGUUGCUAUGACGGUUCUGAUGCUUUUUUUUUUUUUUUAACCUUCUUUUGUUAAAGAACAGAAGCAUGAUGUGUAUUAGUAGGGAAAUGAGCCAAUGAGGACAUAAAGUGAUAAUUUAGCAAAAAAAUAUAUCAUAUAACCCCACUUACAUUAGGUAUUUGGAGUAGUCAAAUUCACAAAAACAGCAAGCAGAAUGGUGGUAGCCAAGGAAUGGAGGAAGAAGGGAAAUGGAAACUUGUUUAAUGGGUAUAGAGUUUCAGUUCUGCAAAAUGAAAAAGUUCUGGAAACUGGUUGCACAAUGUGAAUAUAUUUAACAUUACUGAACUGUACAAUUAGAAAUGUUAGCAUGGCAAAUUCCACGUUUAAAAAAAUGCCUUUAGGUGCUUAUGCAGAGAUGCCUGGCCUUGGAAGUUGAUAAACUAUGUCUUGGGUGACUGGGUGGUUCAUUUGGUUAAGUGGCUGCCUUAGGCUUAUAUUGGGAUCCCAGGGUCCUGGGAUUAAGCUCCCUGCUCAGCAGGGAAUCUGUUUUCCCUCUCCCUCUGC